UGAAAGGCUCACAAGAAGAAAACCUUCUACCACAUCCACUACUUCAACAACACAAAGUCCUAUCACCAGCACAGCAACAACAAUAACAACAAUAACAGCUGUGGCUGAAAAGUCACAUGGAAAUAUCACAAAAAGAAAACCUACCACUUCUAGUAUUCCCACGACACAAAGCUCUGCCAGCAUCACAGCAGUGACAACAAGAACAACAAUUGGAUCUCAAAAAGACUAUGAAAGGUUAACUAAAAGAAAAACAGCUCCUUCUUCACCAGCACAAUGGUCCAAGACUACAACCA